AGAGACGGUUCAAAGCAGUUCGAAAGCGGUUCAAAGCAGUUCGAAAGCGGUCCAACGGCUUUUUCAACUGAUCCAAGGGCUCUACCUAUCUGAUCUAACGGCUUUGCCAACUGUUCCAGCGGGGUUUGCUAACUGACCUAAAGGAGGUGUGAUCCUUUUAAUUCCCAUAGCUUGCUUUUCCGUAAAGGCAUAAAGGGGUUCAGAACAGAGGACAGAAACCAUUUGGUGUUGUGUUGUCGAGAAGAGCAGCCCUUCAACGAUGUCUAAAGCGUGUAAUUGGGGAAGACCUUGUAACUGUAGCGACUGUCGACCUGAGCUAAAGGAAAAAUGUGAAAUUUGCUGCGAGAGAGAAGGAUACCGCGUUGGAAGUACUUUAAGAAAAGACAGAAAGGGGAUAAAGUACUAUGACUCUGAAACUUGUUGUCAACAAUGCUAUCAGGAAAAUUAUGGCGAGAGAGAAGAACGAAUCUUUAACAUGAUGCUGCAAAUUCUCGAGGAUUCGAUUAAAAAUCCUACCAAAAAGCCUCAACCUGACCCUGUCUACGUUACCGAGCGAAAAGAAAUUAAAGAGGUGUUGUGCAGAUUAUUCGGAAAAGAACUGUAUAUGUGUGAAGAUGAUAAAUGUCGACGCAGAAUACCGCAAAUUCUUGAUAAACUUAAAGUGAAGAUUGUUUGGGAAAACAAGAACGGUGGGAAAUUUGAAUAUGAAAGUGAUGAAAUUAGAUACGAUCAUACAACUGGCUGGUUUGAACAGUAUAUUUUACCUGAGAUAAUAAAGAAAAUAGUGGGACCUAUUUGGGUUAAAACAUUGCAAAUUUCCCCUACAUAUAGAUUACCUAAGGUCGUAUAUGUAACAAAGGGCUAAGUUCUCCGUAGAGAUUGGUAUAGAAAACAUUUAUAGUGAGGCUGAUAAUUUUUUGCAAGAGACUACACUUCAAAUUAUUCUACGAAACUGUUAAAGUCGCUAAAGGUUGGUAAUCCUAUAUACCUUGAGGAUCUAUUAGGAGAACCUAUAAUGGGACACUUCGAUGCUAAAGAAAUGUAGAAAACAACCCAUCCGAGAAAGUUUUAAGGCGUAAAGGAGACAAGCUCUACGUUAGAUGGAUGACAUGGACAAAUCGCACGAUUCUUGGAUUAAAAAUCUGAUUUUGUAUAUCUAUCAUGCAACUGUUGGCAUGCCUGAUGAUCCUAAAACUAAUAUAAUGAAUGUCUUGGAACGAUUAAUGUUAGUUUACUGUAGCAAUACUGAUAUCAAUUAACAUUAGAAUAAUAUGUAACCGAAUUGAAGAAAUGGUAAUAUCGGAGAUAUCAGCGAUGAAGAGGAAAGUGUGGAACGGAAUAAAAGAAAGAGUAAUGUGAAGAAGAAAAUCAGAAGGAAGAAAAAAGAGCUGUACAAUAGCAAGUUUUGCUUAAAAAGCUCAUUCUCAGACUCGUUUGUAUGCUUGACGCAAUGAAACAAAAUAAAAUUUAUAUCUUGCGAGCUUGGUCCUAUGCUCACAGAGAAGCAAGAAAGGGUCCGUGGGAAACUAUCGCAUUAGAUAGGUACCGCUUCAAAUGUAAAAUAGAACGCAUUGCAGCUGUUUUGGAGCCCAUAUUAUGUAGUCGUAUUAAGAUGUAUCAAUUGCAAUAUAGUAAAAAUGAUUGAAUUUGGUUGUUUUAUUUGGAAAAUUACUGAAUUACAUGAGUAUUAUAAAUAUAAUAAACGUUAGAUAAAGCGCAACAGCAAAGUGAGCGUACAUGAUAGUAGCAACAUGCUUCUAAUUUAGGUAAAGCUGGUUCUUCUUCCACCUCGGCGACAUUUUGCGAUAGAGUUUUUCGAAUGAAAUCGACUUUUUCUUUUCCUUGAACGUAUACUUGGUCUGAUGAUGAUAUUAACUGGCGAAGUAUAGUUGGAAACAUGUAGGAUGGCGUAUGACCAUGCUCCCAUUUAAUUCCGUGAUGGUUAUGAAUUAACCAGGUAGCUUGCCGUUGUACCUAAGCCACCUGCUUUCCAUUAUAAAUUGCAAGCUCUUUCGGCAAAUCCGGAGCGCUUUUACACAAAUACCUGAUUAUGUAAAAUCAAAAUUAUAGUAUUAUUCAGUAUAAAGCGGUCACAUCAUCCAAUGCAAUUUUAUAGAUAACGCGCUUCUUCGGUUCUAUUGUUAUCAAUAUGACACCUUUGGCUUAAACGCCUACAAGUUCUAACGGUUUCCUGUUAGUCUUGCACCUAUAUAUCCUCGAGUCUAACUAUCAUGUCCCGCAAAAUUUCUAGAAAGAAUUUAUGCUUUUCCUAUUAAAACAAUGCAACUAUAUAGGUGUCCUUGGGUCGUAAUCUUAAGCUAAUUAUUUCAUCAGCUACGCUUUACGAAAUUAUCAAUGGCGGCAGCUCGUGAGUAAAUAAUAGAAUAUAGGUAUCGUUAAACUUUAGUUAUAGCAAAAUUUAAAAUCUACUCAUCUCUAGGGCAUAACGAUAGUCGAUGUAGUGAAACAGCCGGCUUUUGAAUAGGUUGAGGUAAUACUCAAAAGGUAUAUGGAAUUGGUCAAUGAAACGAAAAGUAUGUAUUCAAGUUUAUCGCAUCACCUUCAAAGUAGACCUCCUUCUACAAUAAUACACUACCUACGAGCAUACGUACGCAUUUUCAAAACUAAUAGGGUGCUUUGAUCGAUAAUAAUAUAAAUCUAUCACCGGCCUGUACCAACUGUUUUACCUAUAUAAUAUCAGGUAUGGCGAUAUUGAAUAUGAUGAGUGAAGGAUAUAAAUUUUUAUUGAAUGUUUAUCUGCAUACCCCCUUUGUAUCAAGCUUCCUAUGACCUCGUUUGUCACAUAGCUAUGCAAUCUGUGCAGGUUUCCUGUCUAAAUGGAUAGCAAUAAAUAAAACUCCUCCUAGAAAUCGUUUGAUAGGCAUUUGUUACGAGGAUGGCGGGUAAGAAUGAGCUCUUUUCUAUUUUUCAUCAAACUUAAUGUAUGUAAUUUUUCAGCUCAAGGUGCGGCCAUCGUCUUCGGAGGCGUGCAAACGGCCUAUGGUAAAUACACCGCAUAUCUAUCACACGUUUAACCAUAUAUUUGUAGAACGAGAACUCCGAACACAUCUAAUAGAAAAAUAUGGAUCUGAACAUGUUGCGAUUUUACGGGGUCGGGGAACAAUCCCCGGCUCCGUAAAGAUUGAGGAAGAUGACUUCCAGGGAACGAGGUUCCAGGUCUUUAAAGACCUGGAACUCAAACACACCUAUUGGGUGUUCUAUAAUUAAUAAACCUGUUAAAUUUU